rnacentral:rRNA from 1 species
AUUGAACGCUGGCGGCAGGCCUAACACAUGCAAGUCGAACGAGUGGCGGACGGGUGAGUAAUGUUUGGGAAUCUAGCUUAUGGAGGGGGAUAACUACGGGAAACUGUAGCUAAUACCGCGUACCAUAGGAUGAGCCCAGGUGGGAUGAGGUAGUUGGUGAGGUAAAGGCUCACCAAGGCGACGAUCCCUAGCUGGUCUGAGAGGAUGACCAGCCACACUGGGACUGAGACACGGCCCAGACUCCUACGGGAGGCAGCAGUGGGGAAUAUGGCGCAAUGGGCGAAAGCUGACGCAGCCAUGCCGCGUGAAUGAAGAAGGCCUUCGGGUUGUAAAGUUCUUUCAGUAGGGAGGCGUUAACUACAGAAGAAGCACCGGCUAACUCCGUGCCAGCAGCCGCGGUAAUAC